GGAAGAGCGAAUGAACUGAGUUUUUAUUUACUUUCAGUUUAUAUAAAUACAAAUUUAAAUAACCACAUAUGGUUAGUGGCUACCAUAUUGGAUAGCCCAAGUUCAUAUGGCUAGCCAAGAUCAGAAGUAAGGAUCCAAUCCCAGAAAUUAUCUGGCUCCAAAAUCAUGCUUUAAAUAUUAAAAUACUAGGAUAGGCAUGGCAACUCACACCUUUAAUCCCAGCAGUUUGACAGCCUGAGGUGGGAGGAUGGCUUGAGCUAAGGAGUUUGAGACCAGCCUGGACAACAAAGUGAGACUCUGCCUCUUCAAAAAAACUUAAAAAAAAAAAAAAAAAAAAAGAGCCAGGUCUGGUGGUACACACCUGUAUUCCCAGCUACAGUGCAGGCUGAAGGAGGAGGCUCAUGUGAACCUGGGAAGUUGAGGUUGCAGUGAGUCAUAAUAGCACCACCACACUCCAGCUUGAGUGACAGAGCAAGCCCUUAUGUCAAAAAAAAAAAAAAAAAAAAAAGGGUAGUACUAGUUGUGAUGGUGUACCCUAAAGAAUGUUAUCAUGUUUGCAUCAUUAGAGCUUCCCAGUUAGAGUGCUUACAACUCCUUUCUUGUCUAUAAGCCUAGAAGAGCAUAAUGCGUGUCCCCUAGCAAUCUACCACUGAAACUACUAUUUGUGUAGGCAGUGCUGUCUACUAUGGACAUUUUAGUAUUAGAACUCCCUGGUGAUGCCCAGUAAGCUAACCAAAUGUGGAGGGAAGAAGCAAAGCUGGUAGAAAACGAUUGGUGCUGGAUAUUUUUGAUUUGUCCCUCCAGAUUCACUCUCCAUUUUUAUCUACUCUGUUCUGGUCUCAGGGAGCUGAUACUCUAUGGACCACUUCCUUACCCCCUGGCUUCUGGUUGGAUCCAGCCAGUGAAAGACUCUGGUGGGAACUGGAAAGAGACAGGGUUUUGCCAUGUUGCCUGA
rnacentral:lncRNA from 1 species